GCGGAAUGAUGGGAAGCUUGCUCCCAUCAGUCAGCGGCGGACGGGUGAGUAACACGUGGGUAACCUGCCUGUAAGACUGGGAUAACUCCGGGAAACCGGGGCUAAUACCGGAUAACUCAUUUCCUCGCAUGAGGAAAUGUUGAAAGGUGGCUUUUAGCUAUCACUUACAGAUGGACCCGCGGCGCAUUAGCUAGUUGGUGAGGUAACGGCUCACCAAGGCGACGAUGCGUAGCCGACCUGAGAGGGUGAUCGGCCACACUGGGACUGAGACACGGCCCAGACUCCUACGGGAGGCAGCAGUAGGGAAUCUUCCGCAAUGGACGAAAGUCUGACGGAGCAACGCCGCGUGAGUGAUGAAGGUUUUCGGAUCGUAAAACUCUGUUGUUAGGGAAGAACAAGUACCGUUCGAAUAGGGCGGUACCUUGACGGUACCUAACCAGAAAGCCACGGCUAACUACGUGCCAGCAGCCGCGGUAAUACGUAGGUGGCAAGCGUUGUCCGGAAUUAUUGGGCGUAAAGCGCGCGCAGGUGGUUUCUUAAGUCUGAUGUGAAAGCCCACGGCUCAACCGUGGAGGGUCAUUGGAAA
rnacentral:rRNA from 1 species